rnacentral:rRNA from 1 species
GGUUAAGCGACUAAGCGUACACGGUGGAUGCCCUGGCAGUCAGAGGCGAUGAAGGACGUGCUAAUCUGCGAAAAGCGUCGGUAAGGUGAUAUGAACCGUUAUAGCCGGCGAUGUCCGAAUGGGGAAACCCAGUGUGAUUCGUCACACUAUCGUUAACUGAAUACAUAGGUUAACGAGGCGAACCGGGGGAACUGAAACAUCUAAGUACCCCGAGGAAAAGAAAUCAACCGAGAUUCCCCCAGUAGCGGCGAGCGAACGGGGAGCAGCCCAGAGUCUGAAUCAGCUUGUGUGUUAGUGGAACGGUCUGGAAAGUCCGACGGUACAGGGUGAUAGUCCCGUACACCAAAAUGCACAGGCUGUGAACUCGAAGAGUAGGGCGGGACACGUGGUAUCCUGUCUGAAUAUGGGGGGACCAUCCUCCAAGGCUAAAUACUCCUGACUGACCGAUAGUGAACCAGUACCGUGAGGGAAAGGCGAAAAGAACCCCGGCGAGGGGAGUGAAAAAGAACCUGAAACCGUGUACGUACAAGCAGUGGGAGCACCUUCGGGUGUGACUGCGUACCUUUUGUAUAAUGGGUCAGCGACUUAUAUUCUGUAGCAAGGUUAACCGUAUAGGGGAGCCGCAGGGAAACCGAGUCUUAACUGGGCGUUAAGUUGCAGGGUAUAGACCCGAAACCCGGUGAUCUAGCCAUGGGCAGGUUGAAGGUUGGGUAACACUAACUGGAGGACCGAACCGACUAAUGUUGAAAAAUUAGCGGAUGACUUGUGGCUGGGGGUGAAAGGCCAAUCAAACCGGGAGAUAGCUGGUUCUCCCCGAAAGCUAUUUAGGUAGCGCCUCGUGAAUUCAUCUUCGGGGGUAGAGCACUGUUUCGGCUAGGGGGUCAUCCCGACUUACCAACCCGAUGCAAACUACGAAUACCGAAGAAUGUUAUCACGGGAGACACACGGCGGGUGCUAACGUCCGUCGUGAAGAGGGAAACAACCCAGACCGCCAGCUAAGGUCCCAAAGUCACAGUUAAGUGGGAAACGAUGUGGGAAGGCACAGACAGCCAGGAUGUUGGCUUAGAAGCAGCCAUCAUUUAAAGAAAGCGUAAUAGCUCACUGGUCGAGUCGGCCUGCGCGGAAGAUGUAACGGGGCUAAACUGUGCACCGAAGCUGCGGCAGCGACACUAUGUGUUGUUGGGUAGGGGAGCGUUCUGUAAGCCUGCGAAGGUGGCCUGUGAGGGUUGCUGGAGGUAUCAGAAGUGCGAAUGCUGACAUAAGUAACGAUAAUGCGGGUGAAAAGCCCGCACGCCGGAAGACCAAGGGUUCCUGUCCAACGUUAAUCGGGGCAGGGUGAGUCGACCCCUAAGGCGAGGCCGAAAGGCGUAGUCGAUGGGAAACAGGUUAAUAUUCCUGUACUUGGUGUUACUGCGAAGGGGGGACGGAGAAGGCUAUGUUAGCCGGGCGACGGUUGUCCCGGUUUAAGCAUGUAGGCGGAGGUUCCAGGUAAAUCCGGUACCUUUUUAACGCUGAGGUGUGAUGACGAGGCACUACGGUGCUGAAGUAACAAAUGCCCUGCUUCCAGGAAAAGCCUCUAAGCAUCAGGUAACAUUAAAUCGUACCCCAAACCGACACAGGUGGUCAGGUAGAGAAUACCAAGGCGCUUGAGAGAACUCGGGUGAAGGAACUAGGCAAAAUGGUGCCGUAACUUCGGGAGAAGGCACGCUGAUAUGUAGGUGAAGCCCCUGCGGGUGGAGCUGAAAUCAGUCGAAGAUACCAGCUGGCUGCAACUGUUUAUUAAAAACACAGCACUGUGCAAACACGAAAGUGGACGUAUACGGUGUGACGCCUGCCCGGUGCCGGAAGGUUAAUUGAUGGGGUUAUCCGUAAGGAGAAGCUCUUGAUCGAAGCCCCGGUAAACGGCGGCCGUAACUAUAACGGUCCUAAGGUAGCGAAAUUCCUUGUCGGGUAAGUUCCGACCUGCACGAAUGGCGUAAUGAUGGCCAGGCUGUCUCCACCCGAGACUCAGUGAAAUUGAACUCGCUGUGAAGAUGCAGUGUACCCGCGGCAAGACGGAAAGACCCCGUGAACCUUUACUAUAGCUUGACACUGAACAUUGAGCCUUGAUGUGUAGGAUAGGUGGGAGGCUUUGAAGCGUGGACGCCAGUCUGCGUGGAGCCAACCUUGAAAUACCACCCUUUAAUGUUUGAUGUUCUAACGUUGGCCCCUUAUCGGGGUUGCGGACAGUGUCUGGUGGGUAGUUUGACUGGGGCGGUCUCCUCCCAAAGAGUAACGGAGGAGCACGAAGGUUAGCUAAUCCUGGUCGGACAUCAGGAGGUUAGUGCAAUGGCAUAAGCUAGCUUGACUGCGAGCGUGACGGCGCGAGCAGGUGCGAAAGCAGGUCAUAGUGAUCCGGUGGUUCUGAAUGGAAGGGCCAUCGCUCAACGGAUAAAAGGUACUCCGGGGAUAACAGGCUGAUACCGCCCAAGAGUUCAUAUCGACGGCGGUGUUUGGCACCUCGAUGUCGGCUCAUCACAUCCUGGGGCUGAAGUAGGUCCCAAGGGUAUGGCUGUUCGCCAUUUAAAGUGGUACGCGAGCUGGGUUUAGAACGUCGUGAGACAGUUCGGUCCCUAUCUGCCGUGGGCGCUGGAGAAUUGAGGGGGGCUGCUCCUAGUACGAGAGGACCGGAGUGGACGCAUCACUGGUGUUCGGGUUGUCAUGCCAAUGGCAUUGCCCGGUAGCUAAAUGCGGAAGAGAUAAGUGCUGAAAGCAUCUAAGCACGAAACUUGCCCCGAGAUGAGUUCUCCCUGACUCCUUGAGAGUCCUGAAGGAACGUUAAAGACGAUGACGUUGAUAGGUCGGGUGUGUAAGCGUAGCGAUACGUUGAGCUAACCGAUACUAAUGAACCGUGAGGCUUAACCUU